ensembl:snoRNA
GUUGGUUGAAAAUUACCCACAGCGUUGGUCAUGGCCAUAGGUGAGAUUUAGCGCCCAGAACCACCGGGAGCCUCAGCUCACUGCCCACUCAUAGGUGUAAGGAGGUGAAACCCAGGCCCCGACAUGC